GUUUUUAAUCAGCGUUUCUAGGGCAGGCUUGCAGGCGGGGCCGCGAACCCCCUGUAGUUGUACACGGAGCUGGGUGAGGCUGCGGCUCUGGGCAUUUCUGGGGAGGAGUUCCAUGGCUUUCCACAGACUCUAACCACCCUGCAGCGAGCCGCAUGCUAUACGGGUUAAACUCGGGGCAUAUCGAACGAACAAUUCACUUCACGGAAGACUAGCAAUAACCAGGACACCUGCGCUAUUGAUCAGCUAUCUCAACACCAGAGAGACCCACCAGCACAAGGGGCAAGAAUUGGCCAGGAGGCGCGCGGCGCUGCGCCCUCACCGCGUCCAGACAGACCCUUGAACUUCACCGCCAAAAAACGCACCGCUCCGCAGACCCGACCCGGGAGAGGGGUUUAACUUCCCCUCACCUUUCCCAUCCCUCCUUCAUUUCCAAGGACAUACUCAAAGGAAACUGGCAACACUCGGUCUAGGGUUUCGCUCCUGCCCUCGGCGGACACCGAAACCACUUCUCCCAGGGAAGUUAAUUAAAGGAACCAUUAAUCCGCCCAAAAAUCCAAAACCUACCCCCAAAGCUCAAGAGCUCUGAAAAGAGAUCGAGGGCGCCUCUGCCGAUCUUGAACAUCUCUGCUCGUCGCUGGGGCUUAGAGGUGGGCAGGGGGUGCCAAAGGGGCGCAGGCAAGACCCGGCCAGAGGGUUAGACGCCGGCCCCCGUUCCGAGGCGGCCCAGUCUACACGCCAGCGACGCCGGCUGAGCCGGGCUUGGAGGCAGCCAGGUAAGCAGGACCGGCUCUUCAGGGAAGGACAUCCCCACAACCAGGACCCCUGGCAAAGAGGAAUUAAAGACCCAGUUGUGUUGUGAUGUUCAUUAUUCAGAUCUCGGAGCGCUCACGGAUCUCUUGGAUGUCCCCUGCCAGCUCAACUGAUGAGACUGCUACUUUAUGUACCACUGCUUGAAAAAGAAGGGAAUCUCCUAUUUCUCACACAGGAUAACAGUUGAGAGUCAUUGCCACAAUAAAACAGACAUGUUAGCGGUCAGGUUCAUAUAAGGACUAAGCGGCCCCAUGAAUCACAUAGGACUGGCUAAUCCUAGGACACUCCUCUCUGUGGUUUGCUAGGUAGCAGAGAGGGGAAGCUAAAUAGUAGUUUCUAAUAACAACUGGGAAGGCUUUUUCUUUUUAAAUAAAAAUGGAAUUGGCAUAAUUGGGAAUGAAGAUAAAGCUUGGAACCAAGUUAGAGAAGGCAAAGUGUACGUAGAAGAGCUGUUACAAAUAUAAAACUUGGCUGCGUUCUUUGUGAAGGCUCAAACUUGGGAAGGUUAAAUACCAUAAAUUUUUUCAUUUGUUCUGUAUUUUGAUCCUGAAAAGAAAGCUGGCUUUGCCCAUGUAUUACUUUAAAAACUUGGGGGAAAGGAGAAGAAAGGGACAAGUUUUUAAAAACUGUUUGAAAACAUUACAGCUGAAAGAAGCUACAUAGGAGCUGGGUAGAGAACCUAGUGACUAAGAGAAUGAGGAAUGCCGAGUACGCAUCCUGUGGGCGGGGCUCUACCCUUGCCGCUUUCAGGUACGGGAAUCUUGACACCAAACAUGUUCUCACAUGCAUGGUGGUGUGAAUGAUUUGAAGGAAUUUGUAGUUAGUAUAAGGAAGAACCUGGAACAUGUUUAAUGAUUUACCCCAGGAGAUCAUAAUAAACAAUGUAAAAUUUGGGAGACAUCUCUGAGUUCCCUGGCUCUUGCAGAAUUCAGCUGGGCAGUCAGAACCAGUACUGUGCCCUCGGGUAUGUCUCUGGAAGUCCCAGGAAGAUAAGAGAUAUCUAGACAUGAGACUUGGUUGAGGCAACCCUACUCACCAGCUAUGCUCCCAAUCAAAAUGCCCUCCUUCUAAUUCUAUUAGAAUUAUUCCCACACUUACUGCAUUCUCAUAUUCUCAGAAGCACGCACACACACACACACAAACAACCUUCCAUGCUUCCAAGUUUAAAUGACUCCUGUUAACUCCUAGUUGCCUUUAAGGGCUCAGCCAAAACCUCACCUUUUCAGGGGCCCCCUUGAUUCCUCAAACAUGGUCAGGGCCACCCAUGGACUCUGAUACUGCCCUAUAGACCUCUCAGUGGCACUCAUAGCACUUCCUUUGUCCCCAUCUCAGCGUGUUUUGUCUGAUCCCACAAUGCAGGUAUGGAUGCCCGUCCACCCCAAUAUACCUCUCACUGGAUUCUCUUGGCCUUGCAGGCAUCUUGGGGUGGUCAGUGGAAGGAUCCCCAGAAGGAUGUGGAGGCUGUGUGCCUCCUAGGUGGAAGUGGGAAUCAAGCUGGGCAUUGGAACCAUGGGGAUUGGGCUUAGAGAAGAAAGUCGCUGAUUUUGUGAGCUCAACCACACAGCACCAUCUUCCCAGCAGUGAUAAGGCCUCUGAUGGAGAGCUGCUAAGGUGCUGUGAAGUCCAGACACUAAGCCUGUGAACUUGGGUCCCUCAAUGGGGGCUUGCCAUAGUCAAGCAUAGAAGGAGGGGCUCCUCCACAGAGGCCAGCCCCUGUGGGAGCCACCCAGUCUGAGGAAUAGGGCUCUAUCUCAUUUUCCUGGAUGACAUCACCCAGGAAUAGCAGGGAUCAAUGGAUGAACAUCAACAGCCUGGGCUUCUCAAGCCAGAUUUAAUUUUUCAAGCCAGAUUUAAAAGGUCUUUUCUUUCAUCUAAAUUUAUAACUAUUAUGCCCAUAGCACAAGUAUAAUUACAUAAGGACUUCCAAAAUUGUUAGUUUUCAUGUCUACCUUCCUCUGUUAGAAGUGUAUAUACCUAGCACAAAGUCCAGAAGGUGCUUGAUUCUCAAUCAAUAUUCAUUCAAUGAAUGAGUGAACUAAUCCUUGAAACUCCUUAAAUCUUCCAAUAAUCCCAAGCCCUUUUGUUGGAACCUUUGACCAAAACAAAGUCAUAAAACCACCACUACCCCACAUGUCUUUGGGAACUAGUCUAUGUUAGCCCUGCAAGUCUGAAAGCUUAGCUUUGUUUUGUUUUGUUUUUAUUUUUAAAUUUUUUUUUUCCUACAGCGUCACUCUCAGGAUAUGACAGCAUCACUUUUGAAAAACAGGUUGUUGUUUUUUUUUUUAAAAAGAUUUAACUGCCUGAUCAAAUAGUUUUACAAGAAUAAACUCAGGAAACAGGUUGAGAAAUGAGCAGCUGAGACUGGAGUGUUCACUUUGCAAAGAACAUACUACGAAAAGAUCUGCACUCUAGGAGGUCUCAGCUGAUGAGGAAGAUGCUAGCACAGUGUCCUAUGGUCAGAAAAGAUGACCUGGCAAGAGGGGGAGUGGAGGAGAGGCAGGAAAGGGGAUCCCUUCAUGCUGAAAUCAAUGCAAUGAUGUCUGAUAUAUACAGAAAAACAGGUCUUGUAUAAAUAUGUCAUUAUAAGUGACAAGAUAAUAACAUUUUCUAGUGUAUGGAUUCUAUUUCUUUAUGUCAUUCUGGUCAACCAAAAACAAUCCUAUUUGGCAGAUUUCUGGCAUUUUGCCUCUUCCCCUAAUGACAGAUCUAAACACAUAUAUAAAAAUAGGUGGCCACAAAGAAAUAACUUCUGGCUUUAAAUGUCAUUUGGCUAGAAAUGUCUCAGGCAGCCUCUCCCAACUUUCCUGUGAUAUCUUUGAAAACAAAGAGAAAGACAAGAACUCAAAACAAGCACCAGAAACUUGACCCAAUCAAAGUCUUACCCAGAUUCUUGGAAGCAUUGUUCUUAAUUACAAGGCAAGAAACAUAGGAUUGAUACAAACCCAUCCAAAUUAUGCCUCAUGUAAUAGAAGUCAGUGGGAAGCCAGCUGCCCCUAUUUUCUUAGAGACACAGAGAUUCACGGUCUGUACCAACCAGAACACUAAGCGGGCACCCAUGUGCCAUGGAAGUCCUGCUUUUUGAGGAUGCCAGUACUACAUCUAUUUGGAGAUAGCACCUCCCAGGAAAUAACUGGCCAGGAAGUGUGUGUAUACGUGGGGGAGGGGUAGGAAGAAGGAGAACCAGCAAUUUGUACUGUAUCUUGGGAGGUGUAACUUUAACUUUACAAGCUAAACACUACAGGCAAGGGUGGAGACAGGAAGAUUCCUAAUAGCAGGACACUCUAUCAAUUGCAGUUUUGCAGGUGACUCUGUGGGUCACAAGAAUAGAGAACCAGAUGGGGAAUGUGCUACCUCAGUAGAAUGAAAAUGUUAUUUGGUGCAUGUCUGCUAGAAACUGAAAAUUGGUCUGGACUCAUGCAUGUCAACUUGUACUUCAGGUCUGAAAAGGGGAUGCAUAUGUAUAAAAUUCAACAGAAUGUACAAAUAAUUAAGAUUAAUAAGUGACCUGAGCAAGGAUGCAGAAUACAAGGUCAAUUAAUUUCUAUGUACUAGCAAUAAAUAAUUUUAAAUGAAGUAAAAAUACUAUAUACAACAUAAAAUCAUCAAAUAUUAAAGAAUAAAUACAAUAGAAUAUGUUUAAGAUCUCUACAUUGAAAACUAUAAAACACUGAAGGGAAAAUGUUUAAAAGACCAAAAUAAAUGGAGGAAUAUACCAUGUUUGUGGAUCAAAGCAUACAAUAUUGUUAAGACGUCAAUCCUCACUAAAUUCUAUUGUAAUCCCAAUCCAAAUCCCAAAUAUUCUUCUACAAUAUGGCUUUGCCACUGCCCCAUCAAUAGAAGUUUACUUUUUCUCUCUUUGAAUCUAGAUAGGCUUAUAUGCUUCAUGGCUUCCUCGGCAGGUGAUAAAUGGCAAUUCAGCUUCAACCUGGAUUACAGGAAUAGCCAUUGUUUUAGACUUCAACUGUCACGUAAGCAGUUCAGCUGAACUGAGGCACCAUGACGUGAGGAAGCCCAAAGUCAGCCUAUCUGGAGGGAUCACAUGGAGAGGUCCCAAGACUACACAAAAAGAAGAUGAUAUGAAUGCCUGGCCAGCCCCUAGCUGCUCUAGUUCCUUGCUGUUCCAGCUCCAGCCAUCAUCCAACUGCAACUGCAUGAGAGACCCCAGAAGCAUAGAGCUAAGCCCUUCCCAAAUUCCUUCCCACAGAAACCCUGAGAGAUAAUAAAUGACUGUUGUUGUUUUCAAUCACUGUUUUGAAAUUGGUUGUUAGGCAGCAAGAGAAGCCAGAACAGGGACCUUGGAAUACACAGAAUUUCUUAAUCAGGAUACAAAAAGA
rnacentral:lncRNA from 10 species